ACGGGAGGCAGCAGUGGGGAAUAUUGCACAAUGGGGGAAACCCUGAUGCAGCGACGCCGCGUGAACGAAGAAGUAUUUCGGUAUGUAAAGUUCUAUCAGCAGGGAAGAAAAUGACGGUACCUGACUAAGAAGCCCCGGCUAACUACGUGCCAGCAGCCGCGGUAAUACGUAGAGGGCAAGCGUUAUCCGGAUUUACUGGGUGUAAAGGGAGCGUAGACGGCAUUGCAAGUCUGAAGUGAAACUCCGGGGCUCAACCCCGGAACUGCUUUGGAAACUGCAGAGCUUGAGUACCGGAGGGGUAAGCGGAAUUCCUAGUGUAGCGGUGAAAUGCGUAGAUAUUAGGAGGAACACCAGUGGCGAAGGCGGCUUACUGGACGGUAACUGACGUUGAGGCUCGAAAGCGUGGGGAGCAAACAGGAUUAGAUACCCUGGUA
rnacentral:rRNA from 1 species